UCAUAUAGCAAUAAAAAGCAAAUAAAAAUUUAAAUUAUAAGGGUGAUACGUUCAUAUAAAUACAUCCCUGCUUAUGCUUGACAUCGGCCAAUAGCUGUGGCCAUUGCCCCUCUCAUGUACACAAGUGGUUUGCAAUUGGUGAUUCAAUACAAUGAAUAGACUAUAUAUAUAUAGAUUGGAUAUUCUGAUAAUGUAGCUAUAGAAAAAUCGAGGUACAAAGGUCUUACCUAGAUUAUACCUAGAACUAUACUAUAGAAAAUGAUUAAAUAUGAUCAGAGUUCAAACGUUGCCUUCAUUCGUCCUUCAGUUCUCAUAUAAUAAAGUGAAAAAGAUGUUAAAAUGCAAAAUUUUAACAAUAAUUUUAACAAAAUUAAAUUAAUUUCAAGUUUACAAAAUUCUGAUGCUGUUCCUGGAAAAAACUAUGAUAACCAUGGAAAGAAUGAUCAUCAAUGAUAGCCCAAUUUCUGGAACCAGGAUUGCCAAAUGAGAUUAUAGAAUUUGAUGUCAUUACCCUGAUUAGGAAGGGAAAGCAAAGUUUAAUGGAAAGCAUGGAAUUCAUAAUACUAUGGAUUUAUAUAAUAAUAUUUAUCAUAAUUAUAUAUAGUUAAUUAUAACAG